rnacentral:RNase_P_RNA from 1 species
AGUAAACCAGACGAUCGCGGGCAUCAUAUUGAUGUGUGAGGAAAGUCCGGGCUCCGCAGAGCAAGGAUGCCGGGUAACUCCCGGUGGAGGCGACUCCAAGGAUAGUGCAACAGAAAAUAAACGCCCGGUUUAAACGGGUAAGUGUGGAAAUGUGAGGUAAGAGCUCACACGGGGACUGGAGACUGUUCCCCGGUGUAAACCCCAUCCGGAGCAACAUCAACAUGGGAAUUUAAGCCUGCUCGGCAUAUCCCUAACCGAUGGCUUGAGUGUGCCAGUAAUGGUGCACCACAGAUAGAUGAUCGUCAAAUACAGAACCCGGCUUACAGAUUUACUCGU